rnacentral:rRNA from 1 species
GAUGAACGCUGGCGGCGUGCUUAACACAUGCAAGUCGAACGGAAAGGCCCUGCUCUUGCGGGGCGCUCGAGUGGCGAACGGGUGAGUAACACGCGAGUAACCCGCCCCUGACUUUGGGAUAACUCCAGGAAACUGGGGCUAUUAUCGGAGAGGAGCUCUUGCUGCACGGUGGGGGAUGGAAAGUUUCGGCGGUUGGGUAUGGUCUCGCGGCUUAUCAGCUUGUUGGUGGGGUAGUGGAUUACCAAGGCUUCGACGGGUAGCCGGCCUGGGAGGGAGACCGGCCACAUAGUGCUAGGGGUGGGACCAGACUCCUACGGGAGGCAGCAGUGGGGAGUAUUGCGCAGUGGGCGGGAGCCUGAUACGACGGCGCCGCGUGCGGGAUGACGGCCUUCGGGUUAUGAACCGCUUUCGCCUGUGACGAAGCGUGAGUGACGGUAAUGGGUAAAAAAGCACCGGCUAACUACGUG